CCAUAUAUAACUCGUGCUACCAAAUCAUUAAAUAAUCUUGAAAUCAAAGUAAUAAUUAAAUACAAAUAAAUUGCUCGAAUUGUACAUAUAUCUGAAUCAUGUAGUGAAGAAAAUACAACAACAACAACCAAUGGCUCAAAUUCCCCAUCAACUUCUAAUCUCAACACUUUUGAGUGUCAGAAGCAUUACUCUGCUACCAGUUAACAAACAUAUAAUUAGUAAUUUGCCAUUCACUUCCCUUUUAGGCCUAACACAUUUUCUAUAAAGGAGCCACAGAGUGAACUCAGCAGGAAACACUCAAUUUCAACCUACGUAGGACCAGGAAUUUCAACCAAAAAAAAAGUGUGCAAUUGCUUAUCCUAUCCUAUUGCUACUAGAAAGAAAGUGAACAAUUAAUUUCAGUGAAUAAAUUAAAAAAAAUUACUUCUGCAGAUACUCAAGCUAAGAACACAUUAACCCAUUAAAGACUCCAAAUUGCAUCAAACAAAUUGUUGUUAAACAAGUAAAACAAAGAAAGAGAGUUAAGGAAGCUGACCUAGUAGUAGGGGAGCUGAAGAAAGACUGCCAGUGAAUGUAAGAGAAAAUAAAAUGCAAUAAAUGGUGAAGUGCAGCUUUUCAUGUCAACUUGAAAUUGUUUCUUCUGUUUUUUUUUUUUUUAAUCUUUUGGAUUUUUAAAACAAAGAAAAUGAGGAGCAACCAGGGAGAUAAAAAGGGCGCCAAGGCAACUGUGUGUUGGGUUUAG
rnacentral:lncRNA from 1 species